GACGAACGAGGGAGGAGGGAGGAACACAUGCAAGUCGAACGGAAAGGCCCUGCUUUUGUGGGGUGCUCGAGUGGCGAACGGGUGAGUAACACGUGAGUAACCUGCCCUUGACUUUGGGAUAACUUCAGGAAACUGGGGCUAAUACCGGAUAGGAGCUCCUGCUGCAUGGUGGGGGUUGGAAAGUUUCGGCGGUUGGGGAUGGACUCGCGGCUUAUCAGCUUGUUGGUGGGGUAGUGGCUUACCAAGGCUUUGACGGGUAGCCGGCCUGAGAGGGUGACCGGCCACAAUGGGACUGAGAGACGGCCCAGACUCCUACGGGAGGCAGCAGUGGGGAAUAUUGCACAAUGGGCGGAAGCCUGAUGCGGCAACGCCGCGUGCGGGAUGACGGCCUUCGGGUUGUAAACCGCUUUCGCCUGUGACGAAGCGUGAGUGACGGUAAUGGGUAAAGAAGCACCGGCUAACUACGUG
rnacentral:rRNA from 1 species